GUCAGCCCCAUGCCUAACACACAGUAAGUCUCAGGUGCGGUAGUGGAGAAGAGGAUGGGCUCUAGAGCCAAGAAUGGGUUUGGAUCCUGGCUCUGCCACUUACAAGUUGUAUAACCCUGGCGUCAGUUUUGCCCUUUGAUGUAAGUCAUCGUCUCUGGACAUGAGAACGGGAGGCCUCACUUCCACAUCCUCCUCCAAAUGAAUGCACUCUAAACAAACAUUGAUGCGCCUCUCAAGGUUGGCAUUGCAUCUGGACCAGUGCCAGGAAGCCACAAGGCCACCAGAGGCAGAGGGGAAGAGCAAGGGCGGAAGAAUAGAAGUCAAGCAGCAGCAGAUGGAAUGUGUGCACGGUCAGGUGGAGGCAAGCUGCUCCUGACUGGUGCAAGAACUGACUGUGUGUGUACUUUGCUUCUCAGUGCUGUGCACAGACACGUGCAGCAAGAACCAUCUCAGAGGGUCACAAGCCCCCUAGAUUUUACCCACAGAAGAUGGUAGAAAAAAGAACCUGUGAUGAAUGAAGAAAGCUGGGGAAAAUGAGGGAAGGCAGGAGGAACCUGCCAGAAACAGGCCAAGUCCCACCAACAUGGAAAUCAGAUCACAAAUGAUUUAGCUGUAAAACAGGUAUCCCAAGUUAUGCCAUGUAAUUCCCAAUUCCAUUCUUUCCUUUCCUUCUCCCUUUCCCUCUUAAGUAUCUGUGGAUAGAAACAGGAUGUUAUGUUUUACUUUCUCCUGCAAUGUAGGAAGAUAUUUAUUCUCUAGUUCAUAUCCAAUUAUUUGCAGGCCAGAAAUUCUUUCUCUAAUAAUAUUAAAAUAUGUACCUGUUCCAAAGACACUGCAAUUAAUAAAGUUGUUUCCCUCAACCCA